GAUCAUUACUGAGGUUACCCGGGGUGAGUUUGUUGGGUGCUUGCUGCUGGCGUUCUCUCAGAGCGCAUGUGCACGGCUCCUCUUCUCGCCUUCGUUCCUUUUAUCAACCCCCUGUGCACUACAUAGGAUUAGAGAGAAGCGUGAUGCUUUAAGUUAGAUUAGCAUUAACCUAGUAGUCGUGGGUCCGCGACCUUCGGCGAAAGGGGAGUUCAUUUUGAUCGACGUCGCGUGGUACCUCGAAGUCCUUGAUUAUCACAAACCACUAUAUAUGUCUUGUCAGAAUGAUCAGUCCCUUGUUGGACGCUAAAUAUAAUACAACUUUCAACAACGGAUCUCUUGGCUCUCGCAUCGAUGAAGAACGCAGCGAAAUGCGAUAAGUAAUGUGAAUUGCAGAAUUCAGUGAAUCAUCGAAUCUUUGAACGCACCUUGCGCCCUUUGGUAUUCCGAAGGGCACGCCUGUUUGAGUGUCAUGUUCACCUCAAUCCAUCAGCUUUUGCGGCUGACUUGAAUUGGAUUUGGGAGCCUGCUGGGCCCUUCGUGGCUCGGCUCUCCUUGAAUGCAUGAGUGAGCUUCUGGCUCGCGUUGCUGGUGUGAUAGUCUUUCAUCAUUGGCGACGCUUGCUUAAUGGGCUUGCUUUCGAACCGUCUUUUCAACGGAGACAACUAUUGACAUAUUUGACCUCAAAUCAG
rnacentral:rRNA from 1 species